rnacentral:misc_RNA from 1 species
GAACCUUGUGCCUAGAACAAAGGCACGCAUACCUAGGUGCGUAAGGCGCUAGGGUUCAAGCCUGGUGAGCCUUAAGCCUAAGGCGUACCUUUAAUAACUAUGGUGCAUGUUUUUGUAAAAAAUACAGACAAAAACAGACAAAAUGAUAUUACGAUAUCACAUGCUAGGAAUUUCUUACAAAGAAAACCAUGGAUGGUUAUGAAUGAUACAAAAUAGAACAGGCUUAGAAGUAUUCUAAAGUAUACUACUACUUCUACCUUAAAAAUGUUAUAAUAACAGAUACAGAAGAGAUGGGGACGGAAAUUAGUUAGAUGAACAAGCAACCACCUCAACCAACAGAAAAAUAACUGCAGCUACUCUUGAAGUGAAAUUAAACAAGCAAAGAAACAUAUUCAUCCUUUUGAGAAUGUUUCUCCAUUGGCUUAUUCUCAUUAGUCCACCAAUGACCUGGCAUUGCUCAUUACCCUAUUUAAUUUACUAAAUGUAAGUUCAUGACAACCUUCAAAUCUUUAAGUCCCACAUACAACUAUACAUUAAGCAUUCCAAAAAACUUGGCAUCGUGGCAUUUAUAACCUUAUCUAUCAAGGUUAAACAAUUUUCAUUUAAGCAUU